GCCCCUGUAGCCUAAUAGUUAAAGCAUCGGUCUUCUAAACCGGGGCUUUGGGUUCGCCUCCCACCAGGGGUA
rnacentral:tRNA from 1 species